rnacentral:rRNA from 1 species
UACGUAGGCAGCGAGCGUUGUUCGGAAUUACUGGGCGUAAAGAGUGUGUAGGCGGUGCUCUAAGUCUGUUGUGAAAUCUCCCGGCUUAACCGGGAGGGUGCGGUGGAAACUGGAGUGCUAGAGUGUGGGAGAGGUAAGCGGAAUUCCUGGUGUAGCGGUGAAAUGCGUAGAUAUCAGGAGGAACACCUGUGGUGUAGACAGCUUACUGGACCACGACUGACGCUGAUGCACGAAAGCGUGGGGAGCAAACAGG